AACGUAGGACUCAAGCGUUAUCCGGAGUUACUGGGCGUAAAGCGCGGGCAGGCGGCUGUCUAAGUCUGAUGUGAAAGCGCCCGGCUUAACCGGGCGAGGCCAUUGGAAACUGGAGAGCUGGAGGGCAGUAGAGGCAGGCGGAAUUCCGGGUGGAGUGGUGAAAUGCGUAGAGAUCCGGAGGAACACCAGAGGCGAAGGCGGCCUGCUGGGCUGCACCUGACGCUGAGCCGCGAAAGCCAGGGGAGCGAACGGG
rnacentral:rRNA from 1 species